AUUGGUGCUUGCACUGAUUAUUUUAGUGGCAAACGGGUGAGUAAUACAUGGGAAUCUACCUUGCAGUACGGAAUAACUAUUGGAAACAAGAGCUAAUACCGUAUAUUGCCGAGAGGUGAAAGAUUUAUCGCUACAAGAUGAGCCCAUGCAAGAUUAGCUAGUUGGUGAGGUAAAUGCUUACCAAGGCUACGAUCUUUAGCUGGUCUGAGAGGAUGAUCAGCCACACUGGAACUGAGACACGGUCCAG
rnacentral:rRNA from 1 species